rnacentral:rRNA from 1 species
GAGCACCUACGGGAGGCAGCAGUGAGGAAUAUUGGUCAAUGGGCGGGAGCCUGAACCAGCCAAGCCGCGUGAAGGAAGAAGGCGCCAGGCGUCGUAAACUUCUUUUGUCGGGGAACAAAGGGCGCCACGCGUGGCGUUGUGAGUGUACCCGAAGAAAAAGCAUCGGCUAACUCCGUGCCAGCAGCCGCGGUAAUACGGAGGAUGCGAGCGUUAUCCGGAUUUAUUGGGCGUAAAGAGAACGCAGGCGGGCUUUUAAGUCUGAUGUGAAAGCAUUCGGCUUAACCGGGGGAGUGCAU